rnacentral:rRNA from 1 species
UACGAAGGGGGGCUAGCGUUGCUCGGAAUUACUGGGCGUAAAGGGAGCGUAGGCGGGUUAUCAAGUUGGGGGUGAAAGCCCGGGGCUCAACCUCGGAAUUGCCUUCAAAACUGAUAACCUGGAGUAUGGAAGAGGUGAGUGGAAUUCCCAGUGUAGCGGUGAAAUGCGUAGAUAUUGGGAGGAACACCAGUGGCGAAGGCGGCUCACUGGACCGGAACUGACGCUGAGGCGCGAAAGCGUGGGGAGCAAACGGG